rnacentral:rRNA from 1 species
CACACCGCCCGUCACAUCAUGAAAGCCGGUUGUACCCGAAGUCCACCCCGCUAACCGCAAGGGAGCAGUGGCCGAAGGUAUGGCUGGUGAUUGGGAUG